rnacentral:lncRNA from 1 species
ACGUCCUAUAUAUGCCCUUCAAAUUAUCGACUUGCAUCUAGAUUUGUUUCCAUGUGCUUGAAUUACUCUCUCCAUGUUUUCAAGUCUCUUCUGGACUAAUGAGCCCUAAUUAUUUUAGCCUGAAGAUAUUUAGCAACAACAUUUGGUUUUGAGAAACAACUCCUUAGUUGAUUCUUUGAUUUAUACCUUUAUAGACACAUACUUGAAACAUAAAUUAAAGGGACACUCUUCAUUGAAGUGGAUGUAUAUUAUAGCUGACCCAAGAAGUCUAUGUAACGUGAAAUUUGUUUCUUUCUAAAUUGCAGCAUUUUUUAAACAGUUACAAACAAUGUUUUGAAAACCGAACUGGCCUUCCUGGUUCGACCGGAAAACCUAGUUUGGUUACAUCAUUUUAACCGGAGAAACAAAAUCUGGGAAAAAUCCGAUAAAAUAACAGGUUCAACCGGAUAUGGUUUUACUAGUUUUUGGAAAAAAUAAAAAAAAUUUAGAGAUGAGAUCUCCAAUGGUACUUCUUUGACUUGCCCAAGUGAUGUGAAAGACUAUUGUUUAUAUGCACAUUGCUAUCUAGAAUAAGCUUCUCGAAAUAAAAAGGAAGGAAGAAGUCGCCGAAUAAACUGAGAAGAAGUCGCAUGAAAAAAAUGAGGGGGCAGCACUUUCUUCAUGAAAUGGAAUAGGUUUUUA